CCUAAGCCGCGCCCAUUUCCUACCUCGUCGGAGGUUUUUUUUUUAAACAGCGUGCUCCUGUCUUCUCCGCGGCCCCGCCCCGCUUCCCCCAAAGACCCGCCUCCUUCCUAUUUUUUCGCUCCUCCUCAGGUGAGUUUUUUGAGGCCACACCCCUCCCCUUCUUCCAGGUUUGUUCCCGGAAAUCGUCUGCAGGGGUGGCCGCGCGGCCUCGAGAGAGGAGAAGGGGCAGCCGUCGUCGAGAUGGGGGCGGUUGCCACACUGCUCUGUGUGGUUCUUUUGGAGCUCGUGCCCAUUUUGCGGGGGCUGAGGCUUCUGCACACGCAGCCCCCCUUCGACUGCUCCCAGAAGGGUCUUCGCUGCAUUGUGAGAAAUAGUAGCUGUAUGCAUAAAGAGCUGGAUUGUGUUUGAAGAAUGGACUCCCACUCUGCUCCAAGUU